AAAUCUGGUUGAUCCUGCCAGAGGCGACCGCUAUUGGAGUUCGAUUAAGCCAUGCGAGUAGAAAGAAAUUAGAUUC
rnacentral:rRNA from 1 species